rnacentral:rRNA from 1 species
CCGAGUCUAACAACUCAUCAACCCUGUGAACAUACCUAAACGUUGCUUCGGCGGGAACAGACGGCCCUGUAACACGGGCCGCCCCCGCCAGAGGACCCCCUAACUCUGUAUCUGUUAUGUUUUUUCUGAGUAAACAAGCAAAUAAAUUAAAACUUUCAACAACGGAUCUCUUGGCUCUGGCAUCGAUGAAGAACGCAGCGAAAUGCGAUAAGUAAUGUGAAUUGCAGAAUUCAGUGAAUCAUCGAAUCUUUGAACGCACAUUGCGCCCGCCAGUAUUCUGGCGGGCAUGCCUGUUCGAGCGUCAUUACAACCCUCAGGCCCCCGGGCCUGGCGUUGGGGAUCGGCGGAGCCCCCCGUGGGCACACGCCGUCCCCUAAAUACAGUGGCGGUCCCGCCGCAGCUUCCAUUGCGUAGUAGCUAACACCUCGCAACUGGAGAGCGGCGCGGCCACGCCGUAAAACACCCAACUUCUGAAUGAGUGAAGCGGCAACAGCUCAAAUUUGAAAUCUGGCUCUCGGGCCCGAGUUGUAAUUUGUAGAGGAUGCUUUUGGUGAGGUGCCUUCCGAGUUCCCUGGAACGGGACGCCAUAGAGGGUGAGAGCCCCGUCUGGUUGGACACCGAUCCUCUGUAAAGCUCCUUCGACGAGUCGAGUAGUUUGGGAAUGCUGCUCUAAAUGGGAGGUAUAUGUCUUCUAAAGCUAAAUACCGGCCAGAGACCGAUAGCGCACAAGUAGAGUGAUCGAAAGAUGAAAAGAACUUUGAAAAGAGAGUUAAAAAGUACGUGAAAUUGUUGAAAGGGAAGCGCUUGUGACCAGACUUGGGCUUGGUUGAUCAUCCGGGGUUCUCCCCGGUGCACUCUUCCGGCUCAGGCCAGCAUCAGUUCGCCCUGGGGGACAAAGGCUUCGGGAAUGUGGCUCUCUCCGGGGAGUGUUAU